GGGGGUAUAGUUUAAUUGGUAGAACGCUAACUUUGCAAGUUAGUUGUCCGGGUUCAACUCCUGGUACCUCCA
rnacentral:tRNA from 1 species